AAGGGCAAGUUCACACGAAAAUAAACCUAUUUUUCUUGUACUUUUUCAUCAUGAAAAGUAUUUACCUAGUAGUUUCGGAGGCAAAACAAUUAAAAUAUCACACGUAUCAAAUUUAUUUUAUUCAUAAAAUCGGUUCAUAUUUUUCACAUUUACAGAGAGUUCUAUUUCCAUAAUAAACACACCAUGGCUUAUGCCCCUUGCAAUAUGAUGUCAUUGGUGCCAAUUGACAAAGGAAUGACGUCAUAAGACUUUAUUAGACGCGUUUCACGUGGUGUAUGUAGGUGUGUGGUUCUAUCUUCUCAGAUGCGCAGCCUAGCUAUUGUUUUGUUCGGUGCCGAGCUGUCCAAGAUACAACGCUAAGCACAAUUACUCUAAAAUUAUUUCGGUUUCCAAAAUCACGACUGAGAAGACAACAAUGCACUGAUAACAUACUGUAAGAUUCGCGAUUAUGGUUGGAAGGGUCCGUUGUAUGAAUUGCGCUUAUUCGUUCAUUUGUGUUGCGCAUAUUGGCUCUUGCUGAGUUGCUGUUGUCCUCCGUGAGAGUUUAGAUACCUGCUGGUUCUGAAACCACAGGACCAUAUGUAACUAAUAAUAACAAUAAAAAAAACUCGUUUAAAAAUUAUAGACGAGGCCGAAGGCCGUUUUUGUUACUAUUAUUAGUUACAUAUGGUCCUGUGCUGAAACUGAUCGGAAGCGGAUGGUGUACGAUCCUUAUAUGGAAACGGGCUAAAGGGGCAGCACUCUCAUCAAGACCCUGACUGGGAUGUUUUUGUAAACAAACGCCGUAAAGUUGAAGUAACUCGAUCAGUUUCGAGCCAAGUCAUGCCAGACACCAAUGCCCAGAAAGUACAGGUCCCCAGUCCAUCAUGGUGUAAAGUCGCUGUCCAAUGUACACCAGAAGCAUGGCACACCGUGCUUCAUAGUAUGAGGUACAAAAUAAUAUUUUGACAAUGAAUAAUCACACAAUGUAAAUACUAUAUGCAAAUAAUUUCUGUAUUGAACUAUUUUGUGUAUCUAUUAUAUUCUAUAUUGUUGUCUUUUGUUGUAAAAGUGUAGUGUGGAUGACAAAUGAAAGUAUACUGUGAAUGACAUAUAACAGUAAUAGAUCUGAUACAAUUUGUACACAGUUAACUGAUGAUAUUUGUCUUCAGGCACCCAGUGACAUGCCUGACACUGCUGAAGAUUAUUACCACCUUCUUUUACAAUUAUUUAGUCAGUGUACAUAUUAUUUUGACAAAUUUAUGUUAAAAUUAUUUUUAUAUUUUUCAGGUCCCACAAUGAUAUGGAAGAGUAUAAAUGCGACAAAACCCUUUCCAUAUUUAUAUGAAAUCUCUGUAAAAAACAGUUGAUGAUACGAUUCUGACUAAAUCAUGAGCACGUGUUAAUGAAUCGCUAUCAAAUAGUGAUAAUACCAGGUGUUCGCGAAAGUAGAGAGUAUCCUGCCCCACCGGUGUCACAAGAAAUCCCUGGUGUUGAGAUCCAUUUUCAUUGAGUGCAAAUUGUGUUUAUUUUCAUGCAGAGUUACAAGUCAUAAAAUAUUAGAGUGUCUUGUGAGGUACAGUGCUUCAGACAACAAGAGAGCUGUACUUUUGAAAUAGUCAACCAGUGCACUAACAAGUUGCCACUGAGCAUUCAGCCAGUGCUUGUGAUAUUUUGUUCAGUCUUUUCCCCGGCCUUCGCCCUUGCCCCAAACUACCUGAUCCAGCAUCAGCCAUCGUGUAUUACAGAAACUUAUCAAAUGAACAGCAAAGGCUGAUUGUUGUCAGAGACCAUAAAACAAGAUUUCAAUGAAAAAAGUUUAUUUUAAUGAGCAUAGAGAAAAACUUUACAUACAUCAGAUGGAAAUCUUUCAUGAAUCACCUCGACAACACAAGACGGAAUAACUUUUCUCUGAUUCUUCAACUCUUUCUGCAAAUCCCCAAAGUGAACCUCUUGUUUAUGAGGUGUAGAUAGAUUCUGAAAUGAAAAAGUGUCUUUUAUUAGUCAAGCGAUGCACAACAUUACAAAACAAUAUCAUACCAUUUACAUAUAUAUUUUUGUCAUUAAAUCUGGAGGGAUGCUUAUAUAAGAAGUAACUUGUAUUGAUGUUAUAUGCAAAAAUUUUAUUACAUGUCAAUAAUUCAAUAAAUACCAAAACAGUUUAUAGUUCUAUCAUGUUGACAUGAUGUGUUUAUUACUGUAGGUUUGAAUACUUCUUGAAAUAUUGUGGGCAUGUUUCAAUAUCACUGAUGUAAUUUAAUAACCUUACAAGUUACAUAUGCUUUCACAACUUGCUGGCAAAUAAACAUUUAUGGUACUCGAA